GACGAACGCUGGCGGCGUGCUUAACACAUGCAAGUCGAACGGAAAGGCCCUGCUUUUGUGGGGUGCUCGAGUGGCGAACGGGUGAGUAACACGUGAGUAACCUGCCCUUGACUUUGGGAUAACUUCAGGAAACUGGGGCUAAUACCGGAUAGGAGCUCCUGCUGCAUUGUGGGGGUUGGAAAGUUUCGGCGGUUGGGGAUGGACUCGCGGCUUAUCAGCUUGUUGGUGGGGUAGUGGCUUACCAAGGCUUUGACGGGUAGCCGGCCUGAGAGGGUGACCGGCCACAUUAGGACUGAGAUACAGCCCAGACUCCUACGGGAGGCAGCAGUGGGGAAUAUUGCAAAAUGGGCGGAAGCCUGAUGCAGCAACGCCGCGUGCGGGAUGACGGCCUUCGGGUUGUAAACCGCUUUCGCCUGUGACGAAGCGUGAGUGACGGUAAUGGGUAAAGAAGCACCGGCUAACUACGUG
rnacentral:rRNA from 1 species